AGCUUUUAGAAUACACCAUAAUCACCCAAUCUCCUGAAAAGGACAAAAAGCUGAUCCCACAGUUACAAAUACUCAACUAUCCCACACAGUAUACAAGAAAACAGACAGAGUUAUGACUCCUGUCCUCUGAAGAUGCCGGCCAGAGAGACUGGUGAAAUGUUAGGAAGAAAAACCUCUAGAACACAGCCAAACAGCCCCAAAAAACCUACAACAACUAAAGAAGGAAUACCCUUUUAUGGCUCAAGCCUAGUGACAACCCUUUCUAUCAAUGUUUCUUUAAUUUUAUAAUGAAGUGAGAAGUAAACUUGAUUAGGAGAUUGGAUUCAUGUAAUAAAAGACCAAUUUUUCUUGUUGGCUUAUAUCCAAGAUGGAAGUACCAGGUAUUUCAAUGUCUUCUACAUCAAUGGAAUUUGUGAUAUGGCUGAAGGAAACAUAAAUGAAUUUGCAAUACAAGAUGAAUAUAGAUUUUGACUUCUGUUCUCACUAAAAGAACCUGUUUUUUUGUUGUUGUUGUUUUGUUUUGAAAUAGUAGCCCCAUGGCAAGAUUCCUACAUCAGAUGUUUGCACGAAAAAGCACCAAUUGUGUGGGUAGCCUAAAUACAAUGAUUGAAAAAGUUACUUAUUUAAGACAAUUCUGGGAGUUGUAGUCCACAAACAAUAACUUUUUCCAGCUCCGGCUGGAGGAUAGAGUUCUUUCUUGUCUCAGUACUACACUUCACCAGUAGCAACAAGUACUGGCAUUGAGGGUAAUCACAUAGUUUGGUGUGACUGUUGUUUGUAUAUGUUCAUCAGCCAAAUACUUGCCACAGGGUAGGGUUGUUGUUGGCUUUUGUUUUGUCUUUGGUGGCCAGCCAUAUUAUAGGGGCAAUGUUGGGCCUUAAGAGCAGAUUUGGAACUUGUUCCUAUGUUUCUCUCAAACUGGCUCCCAUAUGAUUCUUCAGUUAGCCUGGACUGAUGUCCCACAGUAUCAGCUGGCAGCAAGAACAUCCCGGACAGAAUUCAGUUCAGACUGGCCUUUGAACGAAGUCAUGGACAAAAGGCAAAAAUCCAACUCAACGUGGUGGCUGAUCGUAGCAUUGCAAGAAAAAAAGAGAAAUGAUACGUAUGGCAUCGUAUAGUUGUGAUCCUAUACACUCCUAGCAGCCACAAUCCUACGCAUUCCCAGAUGCUCUGAUUCAGCAGAAGCACAUAGAUAACUACAGGAACAAUAAGCAACACAGCAAUUCAGCAAUCCUAUUUGAGGCCACAAGAUGAUGAUGCUAUUAUCAAAGAUGUGACAAGUGCUUCCCCUGGCACUUCCGGAGAAAAGGUUCAAAAGAUACAUAACUAGCACGGCUGACAUUGUACAGUGUAAUAGAUGGAAGUGGCUCAAAGACCCAUGGCUUUUAUGCUGGCAAUCAGUGGAGUGUUAGAGGUGUUUCGUUUUCACUGGCCCAGGGAUACCAUUGCCUGGAGAAGACACAAGUAGCCACCUGGGGAGCCAGAAGCAACCUCCACUUAUCAACAGCUGAAGCAGGAGGAGCCAGAGACAAUUUAACUGUCUCUGG
ensembl:lncRNA